CUACGGGUUGCAGCAGUGGGGAAUCUUAGACAACGGGGGAAACCCUGAUCUAGCCAUGCCGCGUGAGCGACGACGGCCCUAGGGUUGUAAAGCUCUUUCAGCAGGGAAGAUAAUGACGGUACCUGCAGAAGAAGUCCCGGCUAACUCCGUGCCAGCAGCCGCGGUAAUACGGAGGGGACUAGCGUUGUUCGGAAUUACUGGGCGUAAAGCGCGCGUAGGCGGAGUGUUAAGUCGGGGGUGAAAUCCCGGGGCUCAACCCCGGAACUGCCCUCGAUACUGGCAGUCUUGAGUUCGAGAGAGGUGAGUGGAAUGCCGAGUGUAGAGGUGAAAUUCGUAGAUAUUCGGAGGAACACCAGUGGCGAAGGCGGCUCACUGGCUCGAUACUGACGCUGAGGUGCGAAAGCGUGGGGAGCAAACAGGAUUAGAUACCCCUGUAGUC
rnacentral:rRNA from 1 species